UACGUAGGGGGCAAGCGUUGUCCGGAAUUAUUGGGCGUAAAGAGCGUGUAGGCGGCCAGGUAGGUCUGGUGUGAAAACUCGAGGCUUAACCUCGAGAUGUCAUCGGAAACCAUCUGGCUAGAGUCCGGAAGAGGAGAGUGGAAUUCCUGGUGUAGCGGUGAAAUGCGCAGAUAUCAGGAGGAACACCAAUGGCGAAGGCAGCUCGCUAGGACGGUACUGACGCUGAGACGCGAAAGCGUGGGGAGCGAACAGG
rnacentral:rRNA from 1 species